UUUUAUUGAUUGUAUUAAUUUAAAUUUGUAUUUACUAACUCCUAGGUGGUUCAGUUAGAGCGUCAACCUCUGCAUCUGUCCAUACCCCAUCUACCUCUUCAUCAGAGAGACCACGUCCUUCAACUUCUCAGCCUCAGAACGUAAGACAACAACAACAUGGGCAAUAUUUACGGUCAACUACAAAUACCAGCCACAGCCUAUCGUCUGCAGAUACUAUUCCAGAUGUAAGGAGCAGUACACCAGAUACAGCUGUUGGAAGAAGCUCUGCCGAUGUUGGACGUCUCUUCAGAGCCAUGGUGACCGAAUCAGCACCACUUUUUGAUGAUAUCGCCGAGGAGGACGAUUCAUCAAGAGAGGUGAUUCUGAAUCUUGUUCCAGUUCCAGCACCAGAGGGUAGAUCGCCAGAAAGUGGAAGCCUGACUCCUGACCUAACACAGAUGGCACAAGAUCAGGAUUUGGACAUACAUGGGCCUGUUAUAAACCCCCGUAGU